AUGGUGCUGCUGGCCGGGCCCGGGCCGGAGGGCGGCGGGGCGCGCCGCGUGUCCCCAGAGCCACCGUCCCCACCUCGGGACGCGCAGGCCGGGGAGGACCCAGCUGACUACGAGGAGUACGAGGACUUCUCGAGUCUGCCCGACACCCGCAGCGUCGCCUCGGACGACUCCUUCUACCCUUACGGAGAUGAGGAGGAGUACAGCUCGGUGAGCGCGGAGAGCGCUCCGGAGGCCGUUCCGGAGGGCGUCCCGGAGGCGGCAACCCUCCUGCGCGCCGCCUGCGCCAACGACGUGGGGCUGCUGAGGGCGCUGGUGCGGCGGGGGCCCAGCGCGGAAGAGGUGCAGGAGACCGAUCGCAACGGCCGGACCGGCCUUAUUGUCGCCUGCUACCAUGGCUUUGUGGAUACUGUGGUGGUCUUAGCAGAGUGCCCCCAUGUUGAUGUCAACUGGCAGGACAGCGAGGGGAACACGGCCCUCAUCACGGCUGCCCAGGCAGGGCACGUCACCAUCACCAACUACUUGUUGAACUAUUUCCCUGGUCUUGACCUUGAAAGGAGGAACGCGUUCGGGUUCACGGCCCUGAUGAAAGCUGCCAUGCAGGGCCGGACGGAGUGCAUCCGAGCCCUGAUGCUAGCAGGGGCGGAUGUCCACGCCAGGGACUCCCGCCGGGGGAUGUCCUCCCAGGAGUGGGCUACCUACACCGGACGGUUUGAAGCGGUUCGGCUCAUCCAGAGGCUACUGGAGCGACCCUGCCCGGAGCAGUUUGGGGAAAAGUACAAGCCAGAGCUGCCACUGGCCCUGGAAGCGGGUCAAAAGCCCGCGGGAUCCAAGAGCUGCUUGCAAAAACUCACGGAUUUUGUGCGGUCCACGCUGACCUCCCGCUCGCGCCAAGGCCUGGAGGAUGGGGGGGCCCUGGACCACAUGGUCAAGAUGACCACGAGCCUCUACAGCCCCGCCGUGGCCAUCGUCUGCCAGACCGUGUGCCCCGAGAGCCCCCCCUGUGUGGGCAAAAGGCGGCUGGCUGUGCAGGAGAUCCUGGCAUCGCGAGGGGAUCCGGACACAAAAGCCCAGGAAAGGGACAAGGGGGAGGGCCCCGAGCCACAAUCCCAGACUUCCCAGAGCCGGCCUCGCGUCUUCGCAGCCGCCGGCCGCCCCCCGGAGGGCCAGCCUCCUGCCCCUGCAGCUGUUGCGGCGGAGCAGCGUGCGGCCCGGCAUGACCAUCCCCAAGGUGCGUGUCAGCAAGGCGCCCGCGCCCACCUUCCAGCCCGAGCGGGCGGCCCGGGGCAGCACCAAGGACAGCAGCCACCUGCAGCUGCCCAAGUGGCGGUACAAGGAGGCCAAGGAGGAGAAGCGGAAGGCGGAGGAGGCGGAGAAGCAGCGGCUGGCCGCCGCGCAGAAGGAAAAGCGGACGUCGUCCUGGAGAAAAAGGACGUGAGGGGGGUGUGUCCGGCGCGCGGGGGCGAGGCAGGACGCAGAGCCCGCCGGCCGGGCAUGCGAAACUGCCGGGAGCCCUGGGGAAGGCGUCGGGGCGCUGGGUGCGGUCCUCCCUGGAAGUGUGCGACCCCGCCCCGCCCUUGCGUUUUACGCACAACACCUCCCAGGGUGCACAGGCUCCCUUCGCGGCCCAGAAAACGUUCCUGUUUGUUCAGGCUGCACUCAAGAGUGAACUGGGCCAAGCCCUAA
rnacentral:lncRNA from 1 species